rnacentral:rRNA from 1 species
GGUUGAUCCYGCCGGACCCCACUGCUAUCGGGAUAGGACUAAGACAUGCUAGUCGAGCGCCUUCCAGCUACGACGAAGGCGCGGCACACAGCUCAGUAACACGUGGCUAACCUGCCCUCGGGACGAGAACACCCCCGGGAAACUGGGGCUAAUUCUCGAUAGGCGAAGAACUCUGGAAUGAGUCUUCACCCAAAAGACGCUUAGAUCAUGCUUCUAGACGUCGCCCAAGGAUGGGGCCGCGACCGAUCAGGUUGUUGGUGAGGUAACGGCUCACCAAGCCUUUAACCGGUGCGGGCCGUGGGAGCGGGAGCCCGGAGAUGGGCACUGAGACAAGGGCCCAGGCCCUACGGGGCGCAGCAGUCGCGAAAACUUUGCAAUAAGCGAAAGCUUGACAGGGCUAUCCCGAGUGCCAUCCGCUGAGGAAGGCUUUUACCCAGUCUAGUAAGCUGGGGGAAUAAGGAGAGGGCAAGUCUGGUGUCAGCCGCCGCGGUAAUACCAGCUCUCCGAGUGGUGUGGAUGUUUAUUGGGCCUAAAGCAUCCGUAGCUGGCUGAGUUAGUCCCCUGUUAAAUCCACCGAAUCAAUCGUUGGAUUGCGGGGGAUACUGCUCGGCUAGGGGACGGGAGAGGCAGACGGUAUUUCCGGGGUAGGGGUGAAAUCCUAUAAUCCCGGGAAGACCACCAGUGGCGAAGGCUGUCUGCUAGAACGCGCCCGACGGUGAGGGAUGAAAGCUGGGGUAGCGAACCGGAUUAGAUACCCGGGUAGUCCCAGCUGUAAACGAUGCAGGCUAGGUGUUUGGGCGGCCACGUGCCGCUCUAGUGCCGCAGGGAAGCUGUUAAGCCUGCCGCCUGGGGAGUACGAUCGCAAGAUUGAAACUUAAAGGAAUUGGCGGGGGAGCACCACAAGGGGUGAAGCUUGCGGUUUAAUUGGAGUCAACGCCGGG